UACGUAGGGGGCGAGCGUUGUCCGGAAUCAUUGGGCGUAAAGAGCUCGUAGGCGGCUCAGUAAGUCGGGUGUGAAACCCCCAGGCUCAACCUGGGGACGCCACUCGAUACUGCUGUGGCUAGAGUCCAGUGGAGGAGUGUGGAAUUCUCGGUGUAGCAGUGAAAUGCGUAGAUAUCGAGAGGAACACCAGUGGCGAAGGCGAGUCCCUGGACAACACCUGACACUGAGGCACGAAAGCCGGGGGAGCAAACAGG
rnacentral:rRNA from 1 species